rnacentral:rRNA from 1 species
CACUCCUGCGGGAGGCAGCAGUGGGGAAUUUUGGACCAUGGGCGAAAGCCUGAUCCAGCAAUGCCGCGUGAGUGAAGAAGGCCUUCGGGUUGUAAAGCUCUUUUGUCAGGGAAGAAACGGUGAAAGCUAAUAUCUUUUGCUAAUGACGGUACCUGAAGAAUAAGCACCGGCUAACUACGUGCCAGCAGCCGCGGUAAUACGUAGGGUGCAAGCGUUAAUCGGAAUUACUGGGCGUAAAGCGUGCGCAGGCGGUUUUGUAAGUCUGAUGUGAAAUCCCCGGGCUCAACCUGGGAAUUGCAUUGGAGACUGCAAGGCUAGAAUCUGGCAGAGGGGGGUAGAAUUCCACGUGUAGCAGUGAAAUGCGUAGAUAUGUGGAGGAACACCGAUGGCGAAGGCAGCCCCCUGGGUCAAGAUUGACGCUCAUGCACGAAAGCGUGGGGAGCAAACAGGAUUAGAAACCCCUGUAGUCCCA